rnacentral:misc_RNA from 1 species
GAUGAAGAACGUAGCGAAAUGCGAUAAGUAAUGUGAAUUGCAGAAUUCAGUGAAUCAUCGAAUCUUUGAACGCACAUUGCGCCCGCCAGUAUUCUGGCGGGCAUGCCUGUUCGAGCGUCAUUUCAACCAUCAAGCCCCGGGCUUGUGUUGGGGACCUGCGGCUGCCGCAGGCCCUGAAAUGCAGUGGCGGGCUCGCUGUCACUCCGAGCGUAGUAGCAUACAUCUCGCUCUGGGCGUGCUGCGGGUUCCGGCCGUUAAACCACCUUCAUAACCCAAGGUUGACCUCGGAUCAGGUAGGAAGACCCGCUGAACUUAAGCAUAUCAAUAAGCGGAGGA